CGGGGGCGAGCUGGAGGGGGGCGAACCCGCAGCCGCUCCCAAGGGCAUCCCUUCGAAGGCUGUUCGGGACGGCCUGGUGGGAAUCCUGCCAGACAUUCGCAACAUAUCCUUCCAGGGCGCGGGGUCUGGAGCCUUCCCUGGCGACAAUGGUCUGGUGCUGGCACUCGAGACCGCAGAGAGGAGCUG
rnacentral:snRNA from 1 species